UACGGGGGGAGCAAGCGUUGUUCGGAUUUACUGGGCGUAAAGGGCGCGUAGGCGGCCAGCACAAGUCAGUUGUGAAAUCUCCGAGCUUAACUCGGAAAGGUCAACUGAUACUGUGCGGCUAGAGUGCGGAAGGGGCAACUGGAAUUCUUGGUGUAGCGGUGAAAUGCGUAGAUAUCAAGAGGAACACCUGCGGCGAAGGCGGGUUGCUGGGCCGACACUGACGUGAUGCGCGAAAGCCAGGGGAGCGAACGGG
rnacentral:rRNA from 1 species